GACGAACGCUGGCGGCGUGCUUAACACAUGCAAGUCGAACGGACAGGCCCUGCUUUUGUGGGUUGCUCGAGUGGCGAACGGGUGAGUAACACGUGAGUAUCCUGCCCUUGACUUUGGGAUAACUUCAGGAAACUCGGGCUCAUACCGCAUAGAAGCUCCUGCUGCAUGGGGGGGGUUGGAAAAUUUCGGCUGUUUUGGCUGGACUCGCUGCUUAUCAGCUUGUUUGGGGGGUAGUGGCUUACCAAGGCUUUGACGGGUAGCCUGCCUGGGAGGUGGAACGGCGACAAUGGGACUGCGGUACGGACCAGAAGCCUACCGGACGCAGCAGGGGGGAACAUUGCAGAAUGGGCCGAAGCCUGAUGUAGCAACGCCGCGUGCGGGAAGACCGGCUUCUGGGUGUGAACAGAUUUCGACUGUGACGAAGAGUGAGUGACGGUAAUGGGUAAAGAAGCACCGGCUAACUACGUG
rnacentral:rRNA from 1 species